rnacentral:sRNA from 1 species
AAUGGGAGAAGUCAUCAAGCUGGGUUAGGGCUGUGCUCACAGGGCUGGCUUCGGAGGCAGGAGAAAAUGCAGAAGUCUCCAUGGACGUUUCCCUGGCUUACCGUGAUGAUGCGUUUGCUGAGUGGACUGAAAUGGCCCAUGAGAGAGUACCACGGAAACUCAAAUGCACCUUCACAUCUCCCAAGACCCCAGAGCAUGAGGGCCGUUACUAUGAAUGUGAUGUCCUUCCUUUCAUGGAAAUUGGGUCGGUGGCCCAUAAGUUUUACCUUUUAAACAUCCGGCUGCCUGUGAAUGAGAAGAAGAAAAUCAAUGUGGGAAUUGGGGAGAUAAAGGAUAUCCGGUUGGUGGGGAUCCACCAAAAUGGAGGCUUCACCAAGGUGUGGUUUGCCAUGAAGACCUUCCUUACGCCCAGCAUCUUCAUCAUUAUGGUGUGGUAUUGGAGGAGGAUCACCAUGAUGUCCCGACCCCCAGUGCUUCUGGAAAAAGUCAUCUUUGCUCUUGGGAUUUCCAUGACCUUUAUCAAUAUCCCAGUGGAAUGGUUUUCCAUCGGGUUUGACUGGACCUGGAUGCUGCUGUUUGGUGACAUCCGACAGGGCAUCUUCUAUGCGAUGCUUCUGUCCUUCUGGAUCAUCUUCUGUGGCGAGCACAUGAUGGAUCAGCACGAGCGGAACCACAUUGCAGGGUAUUGGAAGCAAGUCGGACCCAUUGCUGUUGGCUCCUUCUGCCUCUUCAUAUUUGACAUGUGUG